GAUGAACGCUGGCGGCGUGCCUAAUACAUGCAAGUCGAGCGAACAGACGAGGAGCUUGCUCCUCUGACGUUAGCGGCGGACGGGUGAGUAACACGUGGAUAACCUACCUAUAAGACUGGGAUAACUUCGGGAAACCGGAGCUAAUACCGGAUAAUAUAUUGAACCGCAUGGUUCAAUAGUGAAAGACGGUUUUGCUGUCACUUAUAGAUGGAUCCGCGCCGCAUUAGCUAGUUGGUAAGGUAACGGCUUACCAAGGCAACGAUGCGUAGCCGACCUGAGAGGGGGAUCGGCCAACCUGAAACUGAGACACGGUCCGAACCCCUACGGGAGGCAGCAGUAGGGAAUCUUCCGCAAGGGGCGAAAGCUGGACGGGGCAACGCCGCGGGAGUGAUGAAGGUCUUCGGUUCGUAAAACUCGGUUAUUGGGGAAGAACAAAUGUGUAGGUAACGAUGCACGUCUUGACGGUACCUAAUCAGAAAGCCACGGCUAACUACUU
rnacentral:rRNA from 1 species